GCUGCUGGAGGGGAACAGCAGUCAGGGCUCCUUCGAGGUCACCCCCAGCUCAGCCGGGCCCUGGGCCAACAGCUCCCUGAGCCUCCAUGGAGGGCUCAGCUCCGGCCUCAGGCUCCGCUGUAAGGCCUGGAACGUCCACGGGGCCCAGAGUGGCUCUGUCUUCCAGCUGCUACCAGGGUGAAGAUCUGCAGGAAGGAAGCUCGCAAGAGGGCAGCAGCUGAGCAGGACGUGCCCUCCACCCUGGGACCCAUCUCCCAGGGUCACCAGCAUGAAUGCUCGGCAGGCAGCUCCCAAGACCACCCGCCCCCAGGUGCAGCCACCUACACCCCGGGGAAGGGGGAAGAGCAGGAGCUCCACUAUGCCUCCCUCAGCUUCCAGGGCCUGAGGCUCUGGGAGCCUGCGGACCAGGAGGCCCCCAGCACCACCGAGUACUCGGAGAUCAAGAUCCACACAGGACAGCCCCUGAGGGGCCCAGGCUUUGGGCUUCAAUUGGAGAGGGAGAUGUCAGGGAUGGUUCCAAAGUGAAGAGGUCUCCAUGGCAACAGGACACCAGCAAGUGUGUGGGAGUCGCACUGGUGUGACGGCCAGAACUGGACUCAGAUUUCAGCCCCAUCCCCAAUGAAGAGCUUGAGUUUGAAGAUUAUACUUUUUUUGAGACAGGGUCUGACUCUGUCCUCCAGGCCAGAGUCCAGUGGUGCAAUCUCAGCUCACUGUAGCCUCAACCUGCCAGGUUGAAGUGAGCCUCCCAUUUCAGCCUCCCAAGUAGCUGGGACUACAAUUGUGAGCCACCAUGCCAGGCUCAUUGUUAUAUUUUUAGUAGAGACA
rnacentral:lncRNA from 10 species